GCAGCGGAGCUACCAUGCAGUCGAGCGGUAACAGAUCCAGCUUGCUGGAUGCUGACGAGCGGCGGACGGGUGAGUAAUGCAUAGGAAUCUGCCCGAUAGUGGGGGAUAACCUGGGGAAACCCAGGCUAAUACCGCAUACGUCCUACGGGAGAAAGGGGGCUUCGGCUCCCGCUAUCGGAUGAGCCUAUGUCGGAUUAGCUAGUUGGUGAGGUAACGGCUCACCAAGGCCACGAUCCGUAGCUGGUCUGAGAGGAUGAUCAGCCACAUCGGGACUGAGACACGGCCCGAACUCCUACGGGAGGCAGCAGUGGGGAAUAUUGGACAAUGGGGGGAACCCUGAUCCAGCCAUGCCGCGUGUGUGAAGAAGGCCCUCGGGUUGUAAAGCACUUUCAGCGAGGAAGAACGCCUAGCGGUUAAUACCCGCUAGGAAAGACAUCACUCGCAGAAGAAGCACCGGCUAACUCCGUGCCAGCAGCCGCGGUAAUACGGAGGGUGCAAGCGUUAAUCGGAAUUACUGGGCGUAAAGCGCGCGUAGGUGGCUUGAUAAGCCGGUUGUGAAAGCCCCGGGCUCAACCUGGGAACGGCAUCCGGAACUGUCAAGCUAGAGUGCAGGAGAGGAAGGUAGAAUUCCCGGUGUAGCGGUGAAAUGCGUAGAGAUCGGGAGGAAUACCAGUGGCGAAGGCGGCCUUCUGGACUGACACUGACACUGAGGUGCGAAAGCGUGGGUAGCAAACAGGAUUAGAUACCU
rnacentral:rRNA from 1 species